GUUGGCUUAGAAGCAGCCAUCAUUUAAAGAGUGCGUAAUAGCUCACUAGUCGAGUGACACUGCGCCGAAAAUGUACCGGGGCUAAACAUAUUACCGAAGCUGUGGAUUGUCCUUUGGACAAUGGUAGGAGAGCGUUCUAAGGGCGUUGAAGCAUGAUCGUAAGGACAUGUGGAGCGCUUAGAAGUGAGAAUGCCGGUGUGAGUAGCGAAAGACGGGUGAGAAUCCCGUCCACCGAUUGACUAAGGUUUCCAGAGGAAGGCUCGUCCGCUCUGGGUUAGUCGGGUCCUAAGCUGAGGCCGACAGGCGUAGGCGAUGGAUAACAGGUUGAUAUUCCUGUACCACCUAUAAUCGUUUUA
rnacentral:rRNA from 1 species